AUCUAAGAGAUUAGACGUUCCCUUCGGGACAUGGAUACAGGUGGUGCAUGGUUGUCGUCAGCUCGUGUCGUGAGAUGUUGGGUUAAGUCCCGCAACGAGCGCAACCCUUAUUAUCAGUUGCCAGCAUUAAGUUGGGCACUCUGGUGAGACUACCGGUGACAAACCUGAGGAAGGUGGGGAUGACGUCAAAUCAUCAUGCCCCUUAUGACCUGGGCUACACACGUGCUACAAUGGAUGGUACAACGAGUUGCGAACUCGCGAGAGUAAGCUAAUCUCUUAAAGCCAUUCUCAGUUCGGAUUGUAGGCUGCAACUCGCCUACAUGAAGUCGGAAUCGCUAGUAAUCGCGGAUCAGCAUGCCGCGGUGAAUACGUUCCCGGGUCUUGUACACACCCGA
rnacentral:rRNA from 1 species